ensembl:lncRNA
UUGCAAUAUCUACACAUUACAGUAGUUGAAAGUGGAUUUAGAAGUGAGGGAUAGAUUUAGAGCACAAGCCCGUGACUCUGCAUGAAUUUGACUAGUUUAGACCAGUUUCUUCCAGUUGUGCGGAACCACAGCAAUAAACAGGCCAUUCAUAAAGCAUAGAGUGUGUGUUCAUUGUGGCAGCACAUUUUGCUUAAAAUCUUUUAAAUUAUGCCUUGAAGAAUUUGGGCAUAAAUCCACUUCAAACCCUCACACUGUCUCAGGGGUGGCCAAAAGAAAGUUAUGUGCCAAAAAUGCUGUGUGGGUUAAUUUUAAAAACCCUUCUCCUCCCCCACAUUUAUGAUUUUUAUCCACUACCACCUCCAAACGUCUACCUACAAAAUUCCAUCAUAUGCAGUCUGAUUCACACUUUCACAAGAACCAAUAUAAUGACACUCUUUUUUUCUAAAUCCAAUCUGGAGUCAUUACUGAGACAUCAACUUAUAUUCUACCAACUCAUGUUUUAGUAUCCUAGAAAAGAAGAUAUUAAAUUCUUGACAUUCUCUUUUUAUAAGGUCACCAAUGCGAGCAAUAUGAUAUGAUGUUUGAAACAGUCCAGCAUCUCAGGCUGUUAAGAGAUCAAGGAAAAGGAGUAUUAAUUGACAAAUGAAUGCUACAUAAAAUAGUCAUAGAUAGCUCUAAUAUUUAUUGUACUAGUUAUGUGCCAGUACUAAAGGAAGAUCUUAUAUAUUUAGCUCAUUUAAUUCUUAAAGAAGACCUAUGAGGUGACAGUAACAUCAUCUCCAGGUUAAACAUAAGAAAGCUAAAGGUACAGCAGGUUUAAGUAGCCUUCUAUUGUACAAUGCUGCUGCUGCUGCUGCUAAGUCGCUGCUGCUGCUAAGUCGCUUCAGUCAUGUCCAACUGUGUGUGACCCCAUAGAUGGCAGCCCACCAGGCUUCUCUGUCCACAGGAUUCUCUAGGCAAGAAUACUGGAGUGGGUUGCCAUUUCCUUCUCUGUAUUGUACAAUGAAACCAAGCCAUCCACCCAUACACUCUGACUUCAGAACCCAAGUUCUCAACCAUUAUAUUUAAGUGACUACCUUCCUUUCUUUCUUUUCAAACUUAGGCUUUCUCUACUCUACAAAGCUUAUUAAGAUAUUGCAAUGAGGUGGUGGAGGGGAAGACAAGAACAAUAUUAUACCACUGGCUUAUUUUCAAAAUCAUUUGUAACUUUAAACAUGUGCAUUAUCUUUCCAAUGUCUCCUGGUUUAAUAUAACUAGAAUUCAUUAACGUCUUGUCCAUAGAUCCAUCUCACAGAGCUUGGACACUUGGGGUACACCUGAGAGCAGAGUGUUUUUCCACAGAAAUUAAAGAUGCUAAGAUGCAUAGAUUUUUCAUUUACAAAUGUUGAGAGUGGAGGAGGUUAAACAAUUCUUUGUUUAAGGCUGAGACCAGGGUAAAGCAGAUUAAACCAAAUGCACCAGCUGUGACUUUUUGCACUCCACACCAACUGGGACUGUCCUAGUCAGACAUGUCAGAAUCUCAGUGUCAAAGGGCAGUUGUUGAUGUUGGAUACUAAGGAAGACAUCUCCACAACCAGCGAAACAAGAAAAGCCUGUCUUCAGGGACUACAAUGGCCCAAUUCCCUUCCUAUCCCUUAGGGGGGCUACUCUGCAGAUUUCCUCCUUAUCUUUCAAAGUUCUAGAAAUACACAAUAAUGACUGUAGUUUGUCAGGGACUGUUUUUCCAGCUUGAAUCCAUACUUCCAAACCAUCACUCCAUUCCUCCUUGCAAACAGAAUGUCAAUUCCACUCAGGGUUCCACUCCUCAUGAGAGACAGAUGGCUCAGGUUUGUGUCCAUUCUGAUCAUUCACUGUUUACUUUGCUGUGACAAGACUGAAGC